GUGGUGUAGCGNUGAAAUGCUUAGAUAUCACGAAGAACUCCGAUUGCGAAGGCAGCUNGCUGGACUGUAACUGACGCUGAGGCACGAAAGCGUGGGGAUCAAACAGGAUUAGAUACCCUGGUAGUCCACGCCGUAAACGAUGAAUGCUAGCUGUUAGCGAUAUACUGUUAGCGGCACAGAGAAAUCGUUAAGCAUNCCACCUGGGGAGUACGCCGGCAACGGUGAAACUCAAAGGAAUUGACGGGGGCCCGCACAAGCGGAGGAACAUGUGGUUUAAUUCGAUGAUACGCGAGGAACCUUACCUGGGCUUAAAUUGCAGUGGAAUAACGUGGAAACAUGUUAGCCUUCGGGCCGCUGUGAAGGUGCUGCAUGGUUGUCGUCAGCUCGUGCCGUGAGGUGUCGGCUUAAGUGCCAUAACGAGCGCAACCCUCAUCGAUAGUUACUAACAGGUUAAGCUGAGGACUCUAUCGAGACUGCCGACGUAAGUCGUGAGGAAGGUGGGGAUGACGUCAAAUCAGCACGGCCCUUACGUCCAGGGCUACACACGUGUUACAAUGGGGGGUACAAAGGGCAGCUACCUGGCGACAGGAUGCUAAUCUCAAAAACCUCUCUCAGUUCGGAUUGGAGUCUGCAACCCGACUCCAUGAAGCUGGAUUCGCUAGUAAUCGCGCAUCAGCCACGGCGCGGUGAAUACGUUCCCGGGCCUUGUACACACCGCCCGUCAAGCCAUGGGAGCCGGGGGGACCUGAAGUAUGCAACCGUAAGGAGCGUCCUAGGGUAAAACUGGUGACUGGGGCU
rnacentral:rRNA from 1 species